UACGGGGGGGGGCAAGCGUUGUUCGGAAUUACUGGGCGUAAAGGGCUCGUAGGCGGCCAACUAAGUCAAACGGUGAAAUCCCUCGGCUUAACCGGGGAACUGCGUCUGAUACUGGAUGGCUUGAGUUUGGGAGAGGGAUGCGGAAUCCAGGUGUAGCGGUGAAAUGCGUAGAUAUCUGGAGGAACACCGAUGGCGAACGGCAGGUCUCUGGGCCACU
rnacentral:rRNA from 1 species